GAUGAACGCUGGCGGCGUGCCUAAUACAUGCAAGUCGAGCGAACAGACGAGGAGCUUGCUCCUCUGACGUUAGCGGCGGACGGGUGAGUAACACGUGGAUAACCUACCUAUAAGACUGGGAUAACUUCGGGAAACCGGAGCUAAUACCGGAUAACAUGUUGAACCGCAUGGUUCAACAGUGAAAGACGGUCUUGCUGUCACUUAUAGAUGGAUCCGCGCCGCAUUAGCUAGUUGGUAAGGUAACGGCUUACCAAGGCAACGAUGCGUAGCCGACCUGAGAGGGGGAUCGGCCACACAGGAACUGAGACACGGCCCAGACACCUAGGGGAGGCAGCAGUAGGGAAUCUUCCGCAAGGGGCGAAAUCCUGACGGAGGAACGCCGCGGGAGUGAAGAAGGUCUUCGGGUCGUAAAACUCUGUUAUUGGGGAAGAACAAAUGUGUAAGUAACUAUGCGCGUCUUGACGGUACCGAAUCAGAAAGCCACGGCUAACUACGU
rnacentral:rRNA from 1 species